rfam:Thermoactinomyces vulgaris strain NRRL F-5595 F5595contig1027.1, whole genome shotgun sequence.
AACCAGUCGGAGUCCCCUUGAGGGAUGACGGCGUGCCUUUUGUAGAAUGAACCGGCGAGUAACGGUUGCGUGCAAGGUUAAGGUGAAAAGCUGGAGCCGUAGCGAAAGCGAGUCUGAAUAGGGCGCUUGAGUACGUAGUCGUUGACCCGAAACCGGGUGAUCUACCCAUGUCCAGGAUGAAGUUCCGGUAACACGGAAUGGAGGUCCGAACCUGUUGG